rnacentral:lncRNA from 1 species
AUGGGAAGCUUUGUCUAUCAUACUCUCUUUAUUGAUGGAAUCACUUACCUAUGUGCUACAGACAAUGCCUUGGAUACCAUAACACCAUCUGCAUUUCUUACAAAUGUUAGUGAUACUUUUCUGAGAAAUCCUUUGAUGUCGCAAGAACAUUUUUCUCCUUCAAAUGCCGUUGCUGCAGAUUUUCAACAAGUAUUAGGAAAGUAUAUGAUGAAAUACAAUAAAAAUCAAGAUGGUAGCUCAAUAUCUACAUUGAAGAGUCAAGUAACUGAUGUAAAAAAUAUUAUGUCCCAAAAUAUUGAUGAAAUUUUGGAAAGCGAAAAAAGAUUGAAUAUCUACACUGAUAGAACCAGUUAUCUCCAAACAACUGUAAGUGAUGCUCUCGUCUUGGUAUCUAAAUAGUGUUCUAAGCCUUGAGACAAAUGGCUAAAAGCAAAUGCAUUCCAGGGAUACCGUGAGAUAAUCCUAUGUCGCCAAACUAUGGCUUUAUCAAAAAAUUAUUAGAAUGCAACUAAAGUAUUUUUUUAAUUAUAAAACAAUGAAAAUUUUAAAACCCAUUAAAGUAGUAGGUGGCUAUUUGCAUAACAUAUAUUUCUUACAUUAAUAAAUACACAGGUUAAUCAACAAAUAAAUUUCAAGGACCAAAAAAAAGAGGGAGAACUAACCAAAAAAUGGGUUGAGAAAGUUACCAACUGCAAUGUGUGGGCCUUAUUUGGAAUUUAAUUCAAACAAAUUAUAAAAAUGAAAAUUUAUAACUUCGUGAGAUAAUUAGAUGUUUGAACUCUGACUAGAUAUUAGAUGACAUUAAGGAAUAUUACUAGUUUUUAACUGUGAUAAUGGUAUUGUGGUUAUGCUUUAAAAAGAGUCAUUACUGGGGAUCCCUGGGUGGCGCAGCGGUUUAGCGCCUGACUUUGGCCCAGGACGCAAUCCUGGAGACCCGGCAUCGAAUCCCACAUCGGGCUCCCAGUAUGUCUGCCUAUGUCUCUGCCUCUCUCUCUCUGUGUGUGUGACUAUCAUAAAUAAAUAAAAAUUUAAAAAAUAAAAAAAUAAGAAAAAGUCAUUACUUAUUAGAGAUACAUAUUAAAAUAUUUUGAGUCAAUUUAUAUGAUGUCUGAGAUUAGCUUCAGAACAAUUCAGGAAUAGAAUGGGGUAUAAAUGAAACAAAAUUGGCCAUAAAUUGAUAACUGUUAAAACUGGAUGUUGAAGGUGCCUGGGUGGAUCAGUUGGUUGAGCGUCUGCCUUCAGCUCAGGUCAUGAUCCAGGAGUCCUGGGACUGAGCCCUGUGUCAGGCUGUCUACUCAACAGGGAAUCUGUUCCUCCUUCUCCCUCUGUCCCCCCACCCAGCUCAUGCACUCUCUCUCUCUCAAACAAAUAAAUAAAAUAUUCAAAAACCCAGAUAUUGGGCAGCCCCGGUGUCUCAGAGGUUUAGUGCCGCCUUCAGCCCAGGGCAUGAUCCUGGAGACCCAGGAUGGAGUCCCACAUCAGGCUCUCUGCAUGGAGCCUGCUCCUCCCUCUGCCUGUGUCUGUUCCUCUGUGUGUGUGUGUGUCUCGUGAAUAAAUAAAUAAAAUCUUAAAAAAUAAAAAAUAAUAAAUAAUAACCCAGAUAUUUGGGCACCCGGGUGCUAGGUGGUUGAGCAUCUGCCUUUGGCUCAGGUCAUGAUCCCAGGGUCCUGGGAUCAGGUCCCAAAUCAGGCUCCCAGUAGGGAGCCUGCUUCUUUCUCUGCCUGUGUCUCUGCCUCUCUGUGUGUCUCAUGAAUAAAUAAAUAAAAUCUUUUUUUUUUUAAAUGGAUAUUGAAUAUAUAAGGGGUUCAUUAUCCCAUUCUGUCAACUUCUGUAUAUAUUCAAAAUUCUCUCAAUCAGUAAUAGUUAAUUACCUUAGGGUAUUUUAAAUUUUAUUUUUUACAGAUUUUUUUUCUAGAAUACCUUCUAGUUCCAUCCACAUCACUGCCAAUGGCAAGAUUUCCAAUUUUUGAUGGCUGCGUAGUAUUCCACUGUGUGUGUGUGUGUGUGUGUGUGUGUGUGUGUGUGUGUGUGUGUAUCUAUCCAUUCAUCUGUCAACAAACAUCUGGGCUCUCUCCAUAGUUUGGGUAUUAUGAACAUUGCUGCUAUAAACAUUGGGGUGCAGGUGCCCCUUUGGAUCACUACGUUUGUAUCUUUGGGUUAAAUACCCAGUAGUGCAAUUGUUGGGUCAUAGGGUAGCUCUAUUUUCAACUUUUUCAGGAACCUCCAUACUGUUUUCCAGAAUGGUGGCACCAGCUUGCAUUCCCACCAACAGUGUAGGAGACUUCCCCCUUCUCCACACCCUCACCAACAUCUGUCGUUUCCUGACUUGCUCACUUUUGCCAUUCUGACUGGUGUGAGGUGGUAUCUCAGUGUAGUUUUGGUUUAUAUUUCCCUGAGUGAUGUUGAGCGCUAAAAAAAUGUGUGUGUCUAUUGGACAUUUGUAUGUCUUCUUUGGAGAAAUGUCUGUUCAUGUCUUCUGCCCAUUUCUUGAUUGGAUUAUUUUUUCUUUCCAUGUUGAGUUUUAUAAAUUCUUUAUAGAUCUUGGAUACUAGCCCUUUAUCUGAUCUGUCAUUUGCAAAUAUCUUCUCCCAUUUUGUUGGUUGUCUUUUGGUUUUGUCGACUGUUUCCUUUGCUGUGCAAAAGCUUUUUAUCUUGAUGAAGUCCCAAUAAUUUAUUUCUGCCUUUUGUUCCCUUGCCUUUGUAGACAUACCUAGCAAGAAGUUGAUGCAGCCGAGGUCACAGAGGUUGCUGCCUGUGGUCUCCUCUAGGAUUUUGAUGGAUUCCUGUCUCACAUUUAGAUCUUUCAUUAUUUUUUAAUGUAUUUUUGUGUAUGAUGUAAGGAAAUGAUCUAGUUUCAUUCUUCUUCAUGUGGCUAUCCAAUUUUGCCAACACUAUUUGUUGAAGAAACUGUUUUUUUUCCCCCAUUGGAUAUUCUUUCCUGUUUUGUCAAAGAUAAGUUGACCAUAGAGUUGGGGAUCCAUUUCUGGGUUCCCUUUUCUGUUGCUUUGAUCUAUGUGUCUAUUUUUGUGCCAGUACCAUACUGUCUUGAUGAUUACAGCUUUGUAAUAGAGCUUGAAGUCCAGUUUUGGUUUUUUCAACAUUCCUUUGGCUAUUCAGGGUCUUUUCUGGUUCCAUACAAAUUUUAGGAUUAUUUGGGGUGUCUGGGUGGCUCAGCGGUUGAGCGGCUGCCUUUCACUCAGGUAGUGAUCUCAGGGCUCUGGGAUCGAGUCCCACAUCGGGCUCCCCACAGGGAGCCUGCUUCUCCUUCUGCCUGUGUCUCUGCCUCUCUUUGUGUCUUUC